rnacentral:rRNA from 1 species
AAAUGAAUAGACGGGGGCCCGCACAAGCAGUGGAGUAUGUGGUUUAAUUCGAAGCAACGCGAAGAACCUUACCAGGUCUUGACAUCACGUGACGUACUAAGAGAUUAGUAUUCCCUUCGGGGCACAAAGACAGGUGGUGCAUGGUUGUCGUCAGCUCGUGUCGUGAGAUGUUGGGUUAAGUCCCGCAACGAGCGCAACCCUUACCAUUAGUUGCUACGCAAGAGCACUCUAAUGGGACUGCCGUUGACAAAACGGAGGAAGGUGGGGAUGACGUCAAAUCAUCAUGCCCCUUAUGACCUGGGCUACACACGUACUACAAUGGCAAUUAAACAGAGGGAAGCAAAACAGCGAUGUUGAGCAAAUCCCGAAAAAUUGUCUCAGUUCGGAUUGUAGGCUGCAACUCGCCUACAUGAAGUCGGAAUUGCUAGUAAUCGCAGAUCAGCAUGCUGCGGUGAAUACGUUCCCGGGCCUUGUACACACCGCCCGU